GAUGAACGCUGGCUGCGUGCCUAAUACAUGCAAGUCGAGCGAACAGAUGAGGAGCUUGCUCCUCUGACGUUAGCGGCGGACGGGUGAGUAACACGUGGAUAACCUACCUAUAAGACUGGGAUAACUUCGGGAAACCGGAGCUAAUACCGGAUAAUAUAUUGAACCGCAUGGUUCAAUAGUGAAAGACGGUUUUGCUGUCACUUAUAGAUGGAUCCGCGCCGCAUUAGCUAGUUGGUAAGGUAACGGCUUACCAAGGCAACGAUGCGUAGCCGACCUGAGAGCGUGAUCGGACACACUGGCACUGAGACACGGUCCAGACUCCUACGGGAGGCAGCAGUAGGGACUCUUCCGCAAUGGGCGAAAGCCUGACGGAGCAACGCCGCGUGAGUGAUGAAGGUCUUCGGAUCGGAAAACUCUGUUAUUAGGGAAGUACAAAUGUGUAAGUAACUAUGCACGUCUUGACGGUACCUAAUCAGAAAGCCACGGCUAACUACGUG
rnacentral:rRNA from 1 species